CCUACGGGAGGCAGCAGUGGGGAAUAUUGGGCAAUGGGCGAAAGCCUGACCCAGCAACGCCGCGUGAAGGAAGAAGGCUUUCGGGUUGUAAACUUCUUUUGACAGGGAAGAGCAGAAGACGGUACCUGUCGAAUAAGCCACGGCUAACUAAGUUCAAGCAGCCGCGGUAAUACGUAGGUGGCAAGCGUUGUCCGGAUUUACUGGGUGGAAAGGGCGUGUAGCCGGGACGACAAGUCAGAUGUGAAAUCCGGGGGCUCAACCCCCGACCUGCAUUUGAAACUGUUGGUCUUGAGUAUCGGAGAGGCAGGCGGAAUUCCUAGUGUAGCGGUGAAAUGCGUAGAUAUUAGGAGGAACACCAGUGGCGAAGGCGGCCUGCUGGACGACAACUGACGGUGAGGCGCGAAAGCGUGGGGAGCAAACAGGAUUAGAUACCCCUGUAGUC
rnacentral:rRNA from 1 species